CCUACGGGUGGCAGCAGUGGGGAAUAUUGGACAAUGGGGGCAACCCUGAUCCAGCCAUGCCGCGUGUGUGAAGAAGGCCCUCGGGUUGUAAAGCACUUUCAGUGAGGAAGAACGCCUGGUGGUUAAUACCCAUCAGGAAAGACAUCACUCACAGAAGAAGCACCGGCUAACUCCGUGCCAGCAGCCGCGGUAAUACGGAGGGUGCGAGCGUUAAUCGGAAUUACUGGGCGUAAAGCGCGCGUAGGUGGCUUGAUAAGCCGGUUGUGAAAGCCCCGGGCUCAACCCGGGAACGGCAUCCGGAACUGUCAAGCUAGAGUGCAGGAGAGGAAGGUAGAAUUCCCGGUGUAGCGGUGAAAUGCGUAGAGAUCGGGAGGAAUACCAGUGGCGAAGGCGGCCUUCUGGACUGACACUGACACUGAGGUGCGAAAGCGUGGGUAGCAAACAGGAUUAGAUACCCCGGUAGUC
rnacentral:rRNA from 1 species